rnacentral:lncRNA from 1 species
CAACAUCCACCCCUUCCAAACCUGCACAUCCUCCGACAUGUGCCAAUCUGACCAUCUUUGUUUGCUUCAUUAUUCUCAUUUCUUUUCCAUCUUUCACUAGAUCAAAACCCAAUGUUUUUAAAUUUGGAAGAUUACUUGAAAUAAAUCUGCCAUCUCUUCUCUUAAAUGCCUUGAUCUACUUUCCAACUAUAGAUAUCUUGAACAUUGUACCAUCUAAUUCUCAAAAUAUACAUUGUUGUAUUACGUGAAAUCUUGCUUGAGAAUGCAUCGAGCACCUGGCUAUGGAAGGUAAAAGAAAAUUGCAACAAAAGGUCCUAACAAUCUAAUAGGAUUAUAGAGAAUUUACAAUUAAACGUUAACAAUCAUAAUCAAAUAUUAAGCAAGCUUAAUUAAAUUUUAUUGAAGUUAUAAAAGAAACACAAAGAAAUCCUAAAGAAAUAUAAAAGAAUAUUAAAGAAAACUUAGUCAAAACCUAACAAAAAUCUAAUAGAACCUUAAAUUCUAACCAAAUCCUAAUCCUAAUCCAAUCUUAAUCAAAUCCUAGACAAACCCUAAAUCCUAAACUAAAUCCUUAUCAAACCUUAAUCCCUAAACAAACCCUAAUCCAAACCCUAAAUCCUAAAUCCUAAAUCCUAAACCAAAUCCUAAUCCAAAUCCUAAACCCUAAAUCAAACCCUAAUCCAAAUCCUAAACCCCAAACCAAAUCCUAACCAAAUCCUAAACCAAACCCUAAUAAUUCCUACAAUAGAUUUAAACCUCAAUAACUAAUGAAUAAACCGUUGAUCUUAACUAAAAUUUUUCAUAUUUCUUAAAAAAAAAGUUAAAAACAAGCAAAAAAAAUUUGAUAAGGAUCGGAGUUACCAAAUUGACGAUAUUCUCAAAAAUAAGCUCGGAUAUUGGCCAGCCUAUUUCUUCAAUUUUAAUGCCAAUCUUCUAGAGCCAAUAUCUCUUUUUUUCACCUUUCGAUUGAUCCUAA